rnacentral:lncRNA from 1 species
CCACAGCCAUUCUAGUAUUCUACUAGUUCUAUUCACAGUCAAUAAAAAAAAAAGGACAAAUUUCAAAUGCCACUUCUGUAAUUUUAAAUUUUUUUAUUUUAAUAUCACGUAAUUUAAAGUGUAUCAAAUUAGUAUCACAUGAUUUUAUUUUUAUUUUUUUUGUCAGUUUUUUUGUUAAUAUUUCGUUAAAUUAUAUACAAAAAAUUUUAAAUACCCUACCUAAUUUUAUAGAAUAUUCACUUUAGUACUCUUUUAUUUUAAUUUUGUUACUGAUUUAAUAAAAAAAUUUAGUAAAAUCAAUAAUAAAAAAAUUUAAAAAAAAUUAUAUGAUACUAAAUUGAUAUACUUUGAAUCAUAUAAUACUAUAGUGAAAAAAUAUGAACUAUAAAAAUAAUAUUUAAAGUUUUUUUCAAACAUAAUAUAAAUAAAUAAAUAAAAGAA